UACGUAGGGUGCGAGCGUUAAUCGGAAUUACUGGGCGUAAAGCGUGCGCAGGCGGUUUUGUAAGCCAGAUGUGAAAUCCCCGGGCUUAACCUGGGAAUGGCGAUGGUGACUGCAAGGCUAGAGUUUGGCAGAGGGGGGUAGAAUUCCACGUGUAGCAGUGAAAUGCGUAGAGAUGUGGAGGAACACCGAUGGCGAAGGCAGCCCCCUGGGUCAAGACUGACGCUCAUGCACGAAAGCGUGGGGAGCAAACAGG
rnacentral:rRNA from 1 species